GUUCUCAUUUUGGCAGCACAUAUACUAAAAUUAGAAUAAAUCAGAGAUUAGCAUAGCCCUUGCACAAGGAGGAGAUACAAAUUCAUGGAGUGUCCAUGGCGGGG
ensembl:snRNA U6 U6 spliceosomal RNA